GACUCAGUAGUUCAGUUGGUUAGAAUGUCGGCCUGUCACGUCGAAGAUCGAGGGUUCAAGUCCCUUCUGAGUCGCCA
rnacentral:tRNA from 1 species